rnacentral:tRNA from 1 species
GCCCGCCUAGCUCAAUCGGAUAGAGCGUCAGACUCUUAAAGGCGGGUUUAUUCCUUCUCAUCGGAAUCUGAAGGCUGCGAGUUCGACCCUCGCGGUGGGCU